CCAUAUCAGUAUUUGCUUCUUUAUCAUUGGAGGCCAUAAAUCAGAAUUGAAGUUGCGCUGGAGCAGAAAAACAACAGCAGCAGGUCCCUCGUAAUCUCUGAUACCAUAUAAAGCUGGAAGAUCCGAUAACCCCGGCGAAAGGACGGAAAAUCAGAUUAAAAUCCGUCGAUGAAGAAAUGAGAUUUGGGGAAGAAAGAAGAAUCGUA
rnacentral:lncRNA from 1 species